rnacentral:rRNA from 1 species
UACGUAGGUGGCGAGCGUUGUCCGGAUUUACUGGGCGUAAAGGGAGCGUAGGCGGACUUUUAAGUGAGAUGUGAAAUACCCGGGCUCAACUUGGGUGCUGCAUUUCAAACUGGAAGUCUAGAGUGCAGGAGAGGAGAAUGGAAUUCCUAGUGUAGCGGUGAAAUGCGUAGAUAUUAGGAGGAACACCAGUUGCGAAGGCGGCCUCUGGACUGUAACUGACACUGAGGCACGAAAGCGUGGGGAGCAAACAGGAUUAGAUACCCCGGUAGU